GUCGAGAGGGUUCGGCCCUCGGCGUACUACUCAGUAACACGUGGAUAACCUGCCCUAAGGAAGGGGAUAACCUCGGGAAACUGAGGAUAAUACCCUAUAGGUUACAGACGCUGGAAUGCCCUGUAACCGAAAGCUCCGGCGCCUUAGGAUGGAUCUGCGGCCGAUUAGGUUGUUGUUGGGGUAACGGCCCAACAAGCCGAUAAUCGGUACGGGUUGUGGGAGCAAGAGCCCGGAGUUGGAUUCUGAGACACGAAUCCAGGCCCUACGGGGCGCAGCAGGCGCGAAAACUUUACAAUGCGGGAAACCGUGAUAAGGGAACCUCGAGUGCCUGUAUAUGCAGGCUGUCCAGGUGUCUAAAAAACACCUGAAGAAAGGGCCGGGCAAGACCGGUGCCAGCCGCCGCGGUAAUACCGGCGGCUCGAGUGGUGGCCACUUUUAUUGGGCUUAAAGCGUUCGUAGCUGGGUUGUUAAGUCUCUUGGGAAAUCUGACGGCUCAACCGUCAGGCGUCCAAGGGAUACUGGCAAUCUUGGAACCGGGAGAGGUGAGGGGUACUUCGGGGGUAGGAGUGAAAUCCUGUAAUCCUCGAGGGACCACCUGUGGCGAAGGCGCCUCACCAGAACGGCUUCGACAGUGAGGGACGAAAGCUGGGGGAGCAAACCGGAUUAGAUACCCGGGUAGUCCCAGCCCUAAACGAUGCGCGUUAGGUGUAUCGGUGACCACGAGUCACCGAGGUGCCGAAGGGAAACCGUGAAACGUGCCGCCUGGGAAGUACGGUCGCAAGGCUGAAACUUAAAGGAAUUGGCGGGGGAGCA
rnacentral:rRNA from 1 species